CAAAGCUGAAAUGGCUGCCUGACCUGACUUAAAAAUUGGAUUGCAGUACAUCAGACUAGAAGAUUACAAGUAUUGAGGUGGACAAAAUGAAACCUGAGCCUACCAAAGCUGACAGAUUGCACAAGAAACACAUAAAUGCAGAAACCAUAUUGAGGAGCUGGUCAACCUGUAGGAAGAAUUGCGCUAUUGGUUAGAGCAGCACUAUUACCCAGCCAUACACCAGCACUUAGUUUGUCAUAGGGAGCAUUUCUGAGCAGUUAUGGAGACCACUAACUAUGCAGUUGUUGCAGUGAAACUUGCACCAGUGUGUUUUCUGUGGAGAUA